rnacentral:lncRNA from 1 species
GGCAUACCACCGCUAAAUCCUCCACAUAUCGCUUCUUUCAUCUUCUUAUUCUUCUUCUAUCAAGUAGAAUAAUAUUAAUCAACAAUUAUUCUUCUUCCAUCAAGCAAGACAACAAGAAAUGAAACAAGAAAAACAUAAUUCAAUCAAAUUCAAACUAGAAAACCAAACAUCCCAGCAACAAUCAUCAAAUUCGAAUAACACAUCUUUUGUCAAAUUCAAUUCAAAACCUAACAUCUUAACUUUCAAUUACAAUUUCAAUUUAUCAAAAUUGACUAGAGCAAAACUUUGAUAGAGAACUUUACCGAUAAGAACUCCACAUCAAUUACCCACUAUCAUUGCUUCCUCCACUGCUACUGCCAUCGCUACCGUCUCGCUCCUCUCUCUAAAUUUACAAUGUCAAACACUCAAUCAAUCACAACUCUCAACGUAUUAAAUCUUACCAUCUCGAAUCUCAACUCAUUAAACAAACAAGUUGCUGCUCCGGUCAAUUUUGAUAAAAGAUAAACAAAGAAAAAGCAUAAAAAAACUGAAAAAAUAUUAAAAAAGAAAAAAGAUGAAACAUGAAGCUACCAUCGCCAUUUAUUAGAUGCUUUGUUUGUUCUGUGGGAAGAAAACAAGAGUGGGCAACGACGGC